rnacentral:misc_RNA from 1 species
UCCGAGUUGACCCCGGCAGUCUCCCAUGAGUCCCCACCAUAACGUGCUGGCAACAUGGAAUAAGGGUUGCGCUCGUUGCGGGACUUAACCCAACAUCUCACGACACGAGCUGACGACAGCCAUGCACCACCUGUCACCGGCCCAAAAAGGACCCCACAUCUCUGCAGGAUUUCCGGCAAUGUCAAGCCUUGGUAAGGUUCUUCGCGUUGCGUCGAAUUAAGCAACAUGCUCCGCCGCUUGUGCGGGCCCCCGUCAAUUCCUUUGAGUUUCAACCUUGCGGUCGUACUCCCCAGGCGGGGUACUUCCUGCGUUAGCGCCGGCACCCAGAGGGUCGCUCCCCCAGGCACCUAGUACCCAUCGUUUACGGCGUGGACUAC